UUAGUAUUCUUCACCCUGUCCUUCAACAGAAUCCAUUCCAACCUCCUCAUAAUCCUUUUCAAAGGCAGCCAUGUCCUCACGGGCCUCAGAAAACUGUCCUCCAUACUCUCACUCACAUAUCAGUGAACAAAGGCAUGCUUGUCAUACAUUAGGUCAAAUUUGUGGUUCAGGUGAGCUCAGGCCUCACCAGUGGCUGUGGUGUUACUCAGCAUGCACACAGCUCACUGUUCUUUGGUGGGUCUUCACCAUGUACUGCAGUGGGAGGAUGGUAAUUAAUGCCAGCUUUAAGGCACUGGGGCACAAGUCAACAAACUAGAUGGUAUGCUUGGUCUUGAUGGUGGCAGUAGCAGUAUUGACAUCUUUGGGAAUGGUACGAUAGGCAGCAAGCCUUGUAUUUACCAUGGCGAGGGUCACAUUUCAUCCUUUGGUUGGCUGGCUCAAAGCAUACGUUGGUGAUCUCUGCUACAGAAAGCUGUUCACGGUAGGCUUUCUCAGCAGAGAUGACGGGUGUAUGUGGCCAGAGGGAAUUGGAU
rnacentral:lncRNA from 1 species